rnacentral:rRNA from 1 species
UAUGAGAUGGGGAUAACCUCGGGAAACUGAGAAUAAUACCCAAUGGACCACAGUGCCUGGAAUGGCCUGUGGUUGAAAUGAUUUAUCGCCGUAGGAUAGGACUGCGGCCUAUCAGCUUGUUGGUGAGGUAAUGGCCCACCAAGGCGUAUAACAGGUACGGGCUCUGAGAGGAGGGGCCCGGAGAUGGGUACUGAGACACGGACCCAGGCCCUAUGGGGCGCAGCAGGCGAGAAACCUUUGCAAUGUGCGAAAGCACGACGAGGUUAAUCCGAGUGUCUCCUGCUAAAGGAGUCUUUUGUCAGCCGUAGAAUCACUGGUGA